UUGAAUCUGGAAAUGCAACCUUUCUCUUGUUCGGCAUAGACUUUUUUCAACAACAUAACCACUUUUCAGUAUUUUAUUUCUGACAUACAGCGUUAAAGGAAAUGGUUCACGAACGGACCGCGUGGCCUAAUGGAUAAGGCGUCUGACUUCGGAUCAGAAGAUUGAGGGUUCGAGUCCCUUCGUGGUCGUAAAAUUUUCUCGCAGUUACGCGUAGCCCGAUACACUUUCAUGUCAUUUCCGGAAAAUUCUACGAUUCAGGUAUUACCAGCACCUUCACUAGUGGAUUCUCUCUUGCUCGGGAAAAGUUAUAUAAAUAAAUGGUCGUGUAUUUUUUAUAUUAGCGGUUAGACGACGGAUGGAUGAUGGACGAAAAAUUUCUCCAUUCAUCUAUUCAAACUGAACAAAUAAUCUGAAAAUAUGUAAAAUAUUUUUGCUUGUAUCCUUACGGUCUCUAAAUUAUAAUUUAGACUUAUCAUUUAAUUUAUAAUUCUCUCUCAGAAAAGAGUGUGUUUAAAGCACAGCUUUUGUGCCUAGCCCCAGUGGCCUAAUGGAUAAGGCACUGGCCUCCUAAGCCAGGGAUUGUGGGUUCGAGUCCCAUCUGGGGUGUCACUCUUUUUGUAGAAUCCGAUUUGAAAUUAAUGAAUGUUUAAUGCGAAAAGUAAUCACAAAACCAGACUUCAGACAAAAAUACAAUUUAGAUGAAUUACAAACAUUCAUUAUACCCAUUUUUAUAGUACUGAGUUACUAACACAAUUCUGUGGAGCAGAGUGGCGCAGCGGAAGCGUGCUGGGCCCAUAACCCAGAGGUCGAUGGAUCGAAACCAUCCUCUGCUAACUUUUUUAAAGCAUACAAAUAUUUUAGAAAAUAAAUCCAUCCUGUAUGAAUCAGCUAUGUCCAAUAGCGCCCGUAAGUAGAGGAUAGUUGCUUACUUUUCUGCAAAUUUCGCCGAAUUUGAGCACCAAGACGCUUCACCUUCCUCCACAGGCGGAAAUGUCGUACAGGAACUUGGCGAUUGGUGUCAAGGUUUCCGUCGCUCAAAUGUACGAAUCGUUUCUAGUACUGAAUUAUUAAUUUUUCAAACGGACAAACAAUGCCUCGCACAGCUAUUGAAGCUCUUUCCUGAUUGACAGGGUAAAUAAAGGAGUUGAAGUAUGGGAGUACAGCGACACCUAGCAGUCUGCAAAAAUACUUCAGCCAUGCACUCAAGGAUUUAUCAUCAGUGUCAAUCUGUUAUUUGAAUUAAAACCACAUGAUCAGCAGGUGAGUCAAUUUAUAAAAUUCAUAUUACUCAUUAAAAUACUGUAAUAGAUGUGUAUGUUUGACAGAAUCAGAAUUUCUUUUGUUGCAGGUGGUGCCAUGAUUAUGUAGGGAGUGAAAUUUAAGGUUAAAACGAAUGUUCUAUAACUUUAAAUAAGACGUAGAGGUAAUAUCGCGAGAACAAAGAUCCGCGAUUAGGAUCGCGAGAGAAUAGGUAGUGGGGGCGGUUUGAGAGAGCCGAAGAGGGAGAGAGAGGAUGCGCACUGUGUAAUCGGAUGUAGCUAAUCUGCGAUGUUCACCUCCUCAUGUUGAAUAAAUCAAGUGUUAUGACUUCCAGAGCUCCCUGUCGGUGCCCUCCUUGCAACAAAGCCUAGAACUCACGAUCCAGCGCGCGGUGGUAGUUAGCUUCAAGGCUGUCACCCAAGAUCCUCAGCACACUGCAUUAUGGAGAGCACACUGACCAGCUGCAUCACCGCGUGGUACAGCAGAGCUACAGCUAUGGACUGUAAACGCCUGCAGAGAGUGGUGAAGACGGGAGAAGAUCAUCAGGACUCCGCUGCCCUCUUUGCAGAGCAGCUACCUACCGAGUCCAGAGGAGAGCUGCCUCCAUCCUCAAAGACCCCACACACCCCCAACACGGACUGUUCACACUUCUGCCCUCAGGACGGAGGUACAGAAGUGUGAAAUCUAGAGCCUCCCGACUUAACAACUCCUUCUCCCCCACUGCCAUCAGACUCCUUUACAGCCGACAGGAGUAUGAAUAAUGCACAUCAUCACCUACCUCAUAUUGUAAUUUUUUGCACAUUAAGCUCUUUUGCACAUUACACUUUAAAGUAUAUAUUUACUAUUUUUUCUAAUAUAUUGUACCUCAGCAUUUUGUGUGGACAGCAAACAAGGAAUUUCAUUGCACAGAGAAAUGCACUUUUCUACUGUACAUAUGACAAUAAACGCUUUGAGUCUUGAAUCUGAAUCUCAAAGCUGUUCAGUUAUGCCCAAGCUCACUGAUUUGGUGCAGCAUCCCAUAUAUUAAGUGACCAUCUUGAAAUGCUCUUUUUGCACUGAGGAAUGUCCAACCUGCGCUGAAACGUUUGCAUUUUCUUAGUCUAUGCACUUUUUUUUUUUUACACAGUUUUUCAUUGACUAUACUGCCCUGUGUCAAGACCCGUCUCUGUCUGGUUUGUUGUUUUCCUAUUUGGCCAGCAGGUGUCACUGGCUAUGCCACUCGUAGUGUUUGAAUUCUAAGUGCUUGGUGGUGAUGACCCUCACCUGUGUCUUGUUAUUGUUAUGAUCUGCACCUGGUCCUCAUGUAGCCCUUGUUUCAAGUGCUUGCCCUUGCCCUGUUCCUUUGUCUGUCACUGUAUGCUUUUACUCCUUUUACUUUUUGUUCCUGCUGUGUUUCUCCUCUAGUCCUAGCCGUUGUUAACAUUAUUCAUCUUGUUUUCCUCUUGUUUCCAGUUACUCAUGUGGUUGAAUAAAGCCCCUUUUGCUUCAACUAAA